rnacentral:rRNA from 1 species
UACGUAGGGGGCAAGCGUUGUCCGGAUUUAUUGGGCGUAAAGAGCUCGUAGGCGGCUGUUCGCGUCGGAUGUGAAAGCCCGGGGCUCAACCCCGGGUCGGCCGUGCGGACUGGGAGCUCGAGCACUGUAGGGGCGGGUGGAAUUCCACGUGUAGCGGUGAAAUGCGUAGAUAUCUGGAGGAACACCGGUGGCGAAGGCGGCGUUCUGGACUGCAACUGACACUGAUAAACGAAAGCCAGGGUAGCAAACAGG